UACAGAGGUCUCAAGCGUUGUUCGGAUUCAUUGGGCGUAAAGGGUGCGUAGGCGGCGCGGUAAGUCGGGUGUGAAAUCUCGGGGCUUAACUCCGAAACUGCAUUCGAUACUGCCGUGCUUGAGGACUGGAGAGGAGACUGGAAUUUACGGUGUAGUGGUGAAAUGCGUAGAUAUCGGGAGGAACACCAGUGGCGAAGGCGACUACCUGGCCUGUUCUUGACGCUGAGGCGCGAAAGCUAGGGGAGCAAACGGG
rnacentral:rRNA from 1 species